AUUGCUUUUUGGCCUUUUGGCUAAGAUCAAGUGGAAUAUCGGUUCUUACCUGUUUAAAAACUAAACCUUUUGAAGGAAAUCCACA
rnacentral:snRNA from 1 species